UAUCUACAAGAAACAGAAGUGCCAGAGCCUGGACCAGAGCUAUGUGAUGUGCACAAAGCUAUGGAUGUGUUCGCCUCGUCAACUGUGGGCACAUCAAGUGGCCAAUUGGAUACUGAGCUGAGUGGUGACAGCACUGGAUUUGACUGCGAGAAUCUUUCAGCUUUUGAUGACUGGAAUGAGGCAACAUCACCGAGUCUUUUGCAAAGCAGUACCAGUGCUGAAACUCCAAAAUCGUCGAAAUACCCAUCUCUG